UAUGUGAUGUGCUGGUUUCUGGUCUUUGGCUUCUGCUACUAGAGUUGAUGAUUGUUGACAUGUCUCGUUUCAAACUCAAACAAUUUCUUCAUUAUUUUCCAUAGCCAAGAAGCCCUUAGGUAUAUGUUAUUGCAUGAAAAUUCCAACAAAGAAUUCCCCUUAUAAGCAAAUACAAAAUAAAAAAUGUGAGAGAAGCACGAAUCUGUACCUUGCUAUGAGUGGAGCCUUUAAAAUUAAUAACAAGUGAAAAUAUUCACAUUAAGGAUCGAAAAAAGAAGAGGUCUUUAUAUCUCUAUACUAGCUCUCCAAACUCAUGCGUAUCAGCAAGUCUUACUAUGUUCUCAUCUCUCCUUUUGAUCUUCUAUUUGGAGCUGAAAGUACCAAAAAAUGUUGCAAAGCUUCAAGAGUGGAUUUUCUUGGAGAAAUAUGGCUACCUCUAUGGUGACGGUUAUUCCUAUCCUUACAAAUAGUUAACUUCUAUAAUGAGCUUAAUUGAUUGGUUAUUGUCUUUGUUAUACAUCUUGCAUUACUCAUAAAACUACGCAUGCAUUUCUGGUGCCUUGAUCUAUUUCUAGCGGUUAAUGUAUUUGAUUUUGACUGCGUUUGCAAUGUUGCCUUCUGAUGUCAAAGCUUUAUGAUUCCAUCACUUAAAGUCUUAGACUUCCAUUCAAAUCCAUUUCCUCUGAAGUCACAGCUUUGUAAUUUACUGGAAAACUAAAGUGAUUGGCAGAUAGAGAAUUGCGACUGCAUUGCUAUAAGGUGAUUAUUCCCUUUCCCUUCCUCUUGUGCCUCACGAUUCUGCCACGGGGACCUGGGCCUGAAGAUUAUACUAAUGCAAUCUCUAUUAUUUAUGAAUUCCUAUCUUCCUGGAAUAAAAUUCAUUUUAUAACUCUCUUUUAUAGAAAGAUCAGCUGGACAAUGCACAACAACAUUAAGC
rnacentral:lncRNA from 1 species